rnacentral:sRNA from 1 species
GCUGGGCAUGGUGGUGCACGCCUGUAAUCUCAGCAGCUCAGGAGGCGGAAGCAGGAGGAUCGCAAGUUUGAGGCCAGCCUCAGCAACUUAGCAAGGCGCUAAGCAACUUAGUGAGACCCUGUCUCAA